rnacentral:tRNA from 1 species
AAGUUGUUAUAMCUAGUAAUUAUGUAAAAUAAAAUUUUGUGUUAUAAUUMCUAGUUAUAACAAUUUA